rnacentral:misc_RNA from 1 species
UUAGUGAGGCCUCCUGACUGGCGCCGAUGCUCUGGCAACAGAGCGCCGGAUGCCGGAAAGUUGGUCAAACUUGAUCAUUUAGAGGAAGUAAAAGUCGUAACAAGGUUUCCGUAGGUGAACCUGCGGAAGGAUCAUUACCGAUAGUAUCCAAGAACGACUCCCUGGAGUCGUUUGCCCUGUGAACUGUACCAAAUCGUUAGGGGUCGGCCGGCCAGGCCGUUAAAUGGCGAUCGGACCAUUGCAGCAAUGGAUGGGCCGACUCGCCGGCCCCGCCGGUGUUUUUUUAUAACAUUUACGUGUCGAUGGUCUGAUGUAUCUAUCGGUCCAAUGGCCGAUGGUUGUGAAAAAGGAAAAAAAGUGAGACAACUUGUGGCGGUGGAUCUCUUGGCUCGCGCGUCGAUGAAGAACGCAGCCAGCUGCGAUAAGUAGUGUGAAUUGCAGAAUUCAGUGAAUCAUCGAAUCUUUGAACGCAAAUGGCGCUCUUGGGUUGUCCCAGGAGCAUGUCUGUCUGAGUGUCAUGAAAUCGAAAUGAUCGCAGCAUCAUUUGAUGCUUGCGGCGUUGAGGCGUCACGGCCCAAACUUUUGAACGGGGCGGGCCGUGUCCCUUGAAAGGCAGAGAGGAGACUUUGCAAGUGCAAAGCGGAGGCCAAAAGUCAAUGAGACCUUCGCGAGGCACCAUCUAAUGCGAGUCGCCAGCAAGAGGCGAAAGAGCCAUUCUAUUGACCUCAGAUCAGGCAAGGCUACCCGCUGAAUUUAAACAUAUUAAUAAGCGGAGGAAAAGAAACUAACAAGGAUUCCCU